GACGAACGCUGGCGGCGUGCUUAACACAUGCAAGUCGAACGGAAAGGCCCUGCUUUUGUGGGGUGCUCGAGUGGCGAACGGGUGAGUAACACGUGAGUAACCUGCCCUUGACUUUGGGAUAACUUCAGGAAACUGGGGCUAAUACAGGAUAGGAGCUCCUGCUGCAUGGUGGGGGUUGGAAAGUUUCGGCGGUUGGGGAUGGACUCGCGGCUUAUCCGCUUGUUGGUGGGGUAGUGGCUUACCAAGGCUUUGACGGGUAGCCGGCCUGAGAGGGUGACCGGCCACAUUGGGACUGAGAGACGGCCCAGACGCGUACGGGAGGCAGCAGUGGGGAAUAUUGCACAAUGGGCGGGAGCCUGAUGCGACAACGCCGCGUGCGGGAUGACGGCCUUCGGGUUGUAAACCGCUUUCGCCUGUGACGAAGCGUGAGUGACGGUAAUGGGUAAAGAAGCACCGGCUAACUACGUG
rnacentral:rRNA from 1 species